CGCACAAGCGGUGGAGCAUGUGGUUUAAUUCGAAGCUACGCGAAGAACCUUACCAGGUCUUGACAUCUUCUGACAGUCUAAGAGAUUAGAGGUUCCCUUCGGGGACAGAAUGACAGGUGGUGCAUGGUUGUCGUCAGCUCGUGUCGUGAGAUGUUGGGUUAAGUCCCGCAACGAGCGCAACCCUUAUUACUAGUUGCCAGCAUUAAGUUGGGCACUCUAGUGAGACUGCCGGUGACAAACCGGAGGAAGGUGGGGACGACGUCAAAUCAUCAUGCCCCUUAUGACCUGGGCUACACACGUGCUACAAUGGAUGGUACAACGAGUCGCGAAACCGCGAGGUUAAGCUAAUCUCUUAAAACCAUUCUCAGUUCGGACUGUAGGCUGCAACUCGCCUACACGAAGUCGGAAUCGCUAGUAAUCGCGGAUCAGCAUGCCGCGGUGAAUACGUUCCCGGGCCUUGUACACACCGCCCGUC
rnacentral:rRNA from 1 species